GUAAAUGUGCACAUGUUUUUAAAUUCUCUCCUUCUAGUUGAACAUAACCUUCUGCUUGCUUUCUUCAGUAUGUUUAUCACGUUCCAAUUCUUUUUUCAUGUUUCAUUCUCACAUAUUUAUUCCCACGUUUACAGAGCAGCAGUCCUCUUUAAUCUUGGCCUCGUCUGCGUCCGGACGGGUCCCAGCUCGAAGGCGGCGGCGGCGGCGGCGGCGGGCGGCUCGCGCGGACCUGGCAGCAGCGCAGCGGCGAGCAGGGAACACGCCAGGGAGAAGGAGCCCAGCAAGUGCAUGGUGGGCGGACGGGGUCUCCGUGGGCCCGGCGAGUCCCGGCGGCGCGAGCGGGUCCGGCCGGCGCUGCCCACGCCGCGCGUCGCGCUGCAGCCAGGGCCCGGCGGGCGCGCGUCAGGUGGCGCCUCACAGGAAGCCGGACGUCCGAGCGCCCCUCAUGCGGAGCCGCGAGCUGGAGUCUUACUUGGGCUCUGCCAUGGCUGCUUUCCGAAGACUCAUGAUCAAUCCUCCACGAUGGAAAGCUCUUCUGCUCUGCACUUGAUUGUUUUCCGAUAGAGGGAGGGGAUUUGGCCCAGAAGAAGCCAAUGAAGGGCAAGGCUGACAUAAUAUCCGAGAAGACGGCAAACUGGGACCCGCUCUGCUGGCGCCCGAGGGAGGUCCCGUUUCGGUAGCGACAGCGGUACGAGAGCACCAGGCCCAGCGAGAGGAACACCAGCACGCACAGCAGGAACUCCUUGUUGGCCAAGGAGACGGAGUCUCCGCAUUUCUUAUAAAAAUAGGUGAAAGUAGCAAUGCCAAGAAAAGUCCACAUGGUUCCAAGGCUACUUGGGUGACUCUGGGUCCGUGUUGGGAUCCUUUUUUUCCUUGUAGGGUUUGGAUGAUGACAGGUUUUCCCCGAAAUGCUACCAAAAGGAGCACAAGAAACCGGCCAAACUCCAGUAAAUACCGUAAAAACAGGAUUGCAGUUCAAAUCAGAGCAAUUUACAAAAUCAUAUAAAGUUAUUACUACAAAAGUAUCUGAAGACAGGAAAGUUGUCCAGGACUUAGAAAGUAGUAUUAAAGAAUCGCCUGCUCCAACAGCACCCGACCGGGCUCUCCUCUUUCAGCCAAUCCAUUUAUUUCCUUUUCUCUUGUUUCCUGGAUGGGUUUUUCCUGGGGGUUAUUGCAGGUGAUGUUUUUAAUUUUGAUGUUGGCUCCUAGUGCUGAAAAACCUUUCUCUCUCACCAGCAGCAGGUGCCCUUUCAGAAGACGGUGAGGGGUAAAAAAAAAAUCAAAGAAAUCUUGGCGCUGCGAGAAAGGUGGCCUCGCCUCCUGAGACCGCGAUGCCCGGGCCGGGCUGGCAAGCGCGGAGUACGACUCGCCCCCCUUCGGGCGGCCAGGCUACGCGGCCCAGGUGGAAAUUUCGGGCUGCCGUCUCCCACCAAAGAUGGCCUCGGCUUCACCACUGCGGCUCCGGCGCAGGGAAGGGCAACCCCUGUUGAAAAUCUCCCCACAUCAGCCUCCGAAACACCAGCCCCCGAACCUUCCAGUCCGCGAUUCCGUUUCCCCGCAGGUGAACGGCGAUCUCCAGACAACUUCCCUCAGAGGGAGGCGACUCCCGAUGGCCUCUUCGCCAACAUCCCAAGCCCCGGCGCCGCCGCGCUAGUAACCAGAGUAACCAGCUGAGCUCCGGAGGCUUGUCACUCACCCCGCGCGCCCAACGGCCCAAAGGCUCAGCCCAGGCGAGGGACCAGGGGGCGGGGCUCAAGGAGGAGACCCGCCCCGCCCUGCGCGCAGGCCCCGCCUGCCGCCGCCGCCGGCCAAUGAGGGCGCCCACCGCUCGUAUGCCGAGAUGGCGCUAAGCGGCGUUUGGCCAAUCGUGGACGCCGCUGCCAGAUAGGGGACGCCGGGGAGAGGCAGAGUUGGUGCCGAGGACGUCCCUGCGCCACCUAAAGUCGAGAUGUUUCCAUUCAUUCCGUGGACUUUAAUGAGCGCUUACUACAGUGCCAUCCCGGGGCCACAGGGAUGAAUCAGACACAACCUUUUUGUCCUGUGCCUAGUGUGUGUAGAACCUAGACGGCGGUAGAAAGAGCUACCGGUGUGUGGAGAACCGGGCACUCAAGCUGAAUCUGGAAGGACGAGUAGGCAGCAAUUGCCAGAAGAAAGGAAGAAGAGAUGGUGUGCCGGGUUUUCCCUUCCUCUUCCCCAAAUUGUCAGGCAACUACGCACUUGUCACUGUGCUCAGGCUAAAGACACCCUGAUGCGCUUAGCCUCGUUCUCUCAAGAUAAGAAACGUGGGAAUGGGCGUGGGAGGACGAACGUGAAAUAGAGAUGCCUGGAGAAACUGGGUAGACAGGGAACCAUGGAAACCGGAGGCCGUCUUUCACUCGCCCUGGAGGGAGGCUGGCAAAGUCUCCGAGGAAGUUGCAUGUACCCAAGACAAGCAUUCUGGAGGAAACAGUAAAAGAGUGCGAGUCAAAAGAUGAGAGACAGCCCUUGUUAUGAAACGAUGAAACCUCCCCAGGAUUUACUGAGGCCUGAUUAACAGUGCCGUUGCUGACCUAGACUGCCUUGCCUACUUGAAACUCUAUGACUUCAUGUACAAAUUCUGCCCUCUGGAGCAAUGCUGAAUUGUCACCUUUUCCAUCAGGUCUCCACUGACCCACACCAAGUCACAUGAUAGUUUAUUGAUACCUAUUAUCCCAAUCUCUGACUACACUUGUAAGUUAAGCUUUAUCAUCCCACUCACCACUAUGUUCCUUGAGGGAAGGCCCUCUGUCUGAUGAAUCAGAAUCACCCACAGUACCUAACACAACGUGUUGCACUUAAUUUAUCCUCCAUAAAAAAGUUUUGAUGAAUGAUGAAUGAUAGUGAGGUAGUAGGAAGACCAGAUGACUUGAAUCAGGAGAACUAGAUUCUGGCAGUCACUAACCAGCUUUGUGACCUUGGACAAGUCAAAAGUCAGUCAGCCUCUUGAGGGAAAGGUCAGUAUCUCCAAGAAAUCUAAAUUCUUUGCAAUCCUGAACCUGACACUUUGCAGAGUUCAAGAUAGUAUGGCACCUGCCAUCAUUUUUCAUCCCAAAUAUUGUAUGUUUUAUCUGCUAAUAAAAUAUUUUACAUGUCAAAACGUUUUCUCAGGUGUCAUUUGACUCUCAAAAUCACCUUGAUUUUAAAAAAUAACAAACAUGAAACUUAAAGAGGUUAAGUGCCUUGGCCAAAUCACAGCUUGUAAGUGAUGAAACAAAAAGUUAAACUCCUAGUCUCCAAAUUCAUGUUCCCCAAUACUCUUAACUAUCAGUAACUGCUUUAACUUUCCUCUAUCAUAAAACCAAGACUUUCUCUCCCUAACAAUAUUGCUCAAUGUUACCAACAAAUUCAGCUGUUUGAAAUAUAUAUGAAAUUCAAAAGCAUUCAUGAAAUAAUCAGUUUAAUGUGUGGGAAAUCAUUUUCCUGAAGACAAGUCUUCAAUACACUGCUUGUUGGUACCUUGAGUUCCUAUAUUGCUAAAAUUCUAGAAGGCAUCUGACUCUUACAGAUGAAAACACAGUAUCACCUGGAUGAUUGUUACUUGAUUAUCAUAUUUGAGAUUAACAUAGGAUUGUUUUCUUUUUAAGUAAUUUAAAAAUCUUUUGAAAGCCACUUCAUGUGUUUACAGUCCAAGAUCCACGGCUGUACUUGGGGCAAAAAGAGCAUUUGUAAUGCCUAGCAUAGGGCACACUCUGAAUGCUUAUAUUGCCUGGGCUUAAUUAAAGGCUAUAUAACCAUCA